rnacentral:lncRNA from 1 species
UAAGCUGAACCAAUUGAGAUGUUGGCAUAAACAAGAUUAACUUUUCCCUUGCAAAUCGAUGUGACUGGUCUGCUGCUGCAGGCUUCAUCUAAAACUUUGCUUCGUCUUAAACUAGUUAUGCAUUUGUAAACUGCUACUGAUUUCUUUGGGGCAUUGUCCCCAUAAACUAUUUGUAAAGUAUCAAUGAUUUCACCAUUCUUCCACAUCACAACUUUCACCAUCAAUUUGAUGUUUGUCCUUGCUACAAUUUUAGCAGAAUUGAUUUUGCCUUGAUAGGGACUCUUUGCAAACUGAUGUCCUAUCCUUCUUAGUGCCUCAAACUAGAUCCUGUUCAGACAUGUUAUAACAAGUUAGUAUGAGUUUAUUUUGGUGCAAGAAAAUUUAUGUUCUCACAAAACUAUAUUUUUUUCAAUAAUGAAAAACAAAUCUCUCCUUAAUUUGAGAAGCAUCUGGUUUUCCUGAACUUAUUUUUUCUUAAUUCAAGUUGAACUAAAGUAUCAGUUACACUUAAGUCUAAUAGAAUGGAAUUAAAAGUCACAAUGUAGAAACAAUGUAGGGUUUGGGACAAUGCCUUGUCCCAAUUAGGGAACCCGCAAAGAUUUUGACAAAAUGAAGAAUAAAUGCUUACUGGACAUUUCAAGCUCUAACUAGCAUGUUUAAAACAGAUUUCAUCAUCUUUACCAACCAGUGGCUUUUCUUGACUUGCCAAAUCAGUGAAUGGUACUGCUCGUUCCCUCUUUCUUAAAUCUUGAGUAUGUUUCAUUUUCUUUCUUCUUCACCUCUAUAAUCAGAGAUCAAAUGCUGUCAAGUUUUCCUCCCCCCACCAAAACAAUUCCUUGCUCACCUAUUCCUUUCUCUCUCCAGUUCCUACUCUAGUUUCAUCUCAUGCUGAUACCACUUCAACAGUAUCUUGUCUCCCUACUUCCAAUUCCUGUGUCAUUUCUUCAGUUACAAUGGGCAUUGUUUCUAAAUAAUUUUCCAACACUGUAUUUUGUUUAUGACAUGCCUUUCUGUGCCUAUUCAAAAACUCUCAGCAAAAGUAACUAAAAUUAAAAGGGAAAUCUGUAUGGAAAAAUAUGUGCAGCAAGUUACCACUAUAAUAAACUCAAUCAAUUAAGAAAAAAAAAAAAAAAA